rnacentral:rRNA from 1 species
GCUGAGCAUCCUACGGGAGGCAGCAGUGGGGAAUAUUGCACAAUGGGCGCAAGCCUGAUGCAGCCAUGCCGCGUGUAUGAAGAAGGCCUUCGGGUUGUAAAGUACUUUCAGCAGUGAGGAAGGUGGAUAUGUUAAUAGCAUAUUCAUUUGACGUUAGCUGCAGAAGAAGCACCGGCUAACUCCGUGCCAGCAGCCGCGGUAAUACGGAGGGUGCGAGCGUUAAUCGGAAUUACUGGGCGUAAAGCGCAUGCAGGUGGUUUGUUAAGUCAGAUGUGAAAGCCCGGGGCUCAACCUCGGAAUUGCAUUUGAAACUGGCAAACUAGAGUACUGUAGAGGGGGUAGAAUUUCAGGUGUAGCGGUGAAAUGCGUAGAGAUCUGAAGGAAUACCGGUGGCGAAGGCGGCCCCCUGGACAGAUACUGACACUCAGAUGCGAAAGCGUGGGGAGCAAACAGGAUUAGAUACCCUGGUAG